rnacentral:rRNA from 1 species
UACGUAGGGGGCAAGCGUUAUCCGGAAUUACUGGGUGUAAAGGGAGCGUAGACGGUAAUGUAAGUCUGGAGUGAAAGGCGGGGGCCCAACCCCCGGACUGCUCUGGAAACUAUGUUACUAGAGUGCAGGAGAGGUAAGCGGAAUUCCUAGUGUAGCGGUGAAGUGCGUAGAUAUUAGGAGGAACACCAGUGGCGAAGGCGGCUUACUGGACUGUAACUGACGUUGAGGCUCGAAAGCGUGGGGAGCAAACAGG